CCCUUCCACGACAUCUUAGGGGCGGACCAUUAGAAAUCCCGGGAGGGGGGGGGUAUAAAAUUUUUGCGGCACAAUUUUUUUUUUCUGUCUCGUGUCUCUGCAGGAAUUUUUUUUAAUGCAUUUAACCUCUGCACGAAUUUUUUUUCAAGACUACUUGUACUUCGCUGUUUGCUUGCACGAAUUUUUUUUCUCUGACGUAAUGGCUGCACGAAUUUUUUUUCCAGGCAUUUUCCUUUGCACAAAUUUUUUUUUUUAAUUUUCACCCCCCCCCCUCCCGGGAUUUCUAAUGGUCCGCCCCUUAGUUUUGAAGAUUGGGAAAAGAUGCGAAAAGAGGACAUGCAUUUCUAUCCAGAAGACUAAGCAUAUACUUCGUGCUUAAGUCUUCUGGACAGAAAUGCCGUGCAGGUU